UUGCUGCAUUUGCUGCGGUUGCUUUUACGGUUGCUGAAUUUCAAUUUUAAAAAAGCAGGCAUUUGGUGCGCGAAAAGGUCGAGCAUCCCUUGUUAACUAAAUUUGAGAUCUGGAUCGCAGAACUGGAUAAACGACACUCCUGUUAAUCACAACGCGGGAACGGAAUUCAUUUGGAAUGGAACAAAAUUAAUUGCCCGUGAUGAGCAACAUUCAUCAUUUGGAAUUCCUGGUUCCGAUUUCAAAAACCUCAGGCCCGGCAGAUAAAAAUAAACCGGAUGACGAUCCAGUGCUAAACGAUGGAAACAGUUUUGCGAAUCGUUGGCAAAGGGAUGGUACAAACUCGGGAACAAAGGCAACAUAGCCGAAACUGGACGAUUAUUUUGCAGCAGGCAGAAGGAAUUAGAUAUCGCCGAAUGUAGCGAAAAAUUGUCUAGAACGGUUCAUCUCCAUCAGCGAGUCUAAUCAAAGGCGUCAAGCAUGCGAGAUUCUUCCGGCUCAAGAACAAUUUAUGCCUCGCUGAAAGACGUUCGGUUACUACAUAUCCAGUAUCAUAUAGGAGCAUAGAUGCCGGCUUUGGUAUAGUUUGCGGUUUCGAAGCGCCUCCGAACGCGAAGGGAUUCCAGCAAGACAUGAGCCACCCUGGGUCUGCGGAUCGAUACUGGAUUCCUGCUAUUUUUCAAUAUACUUGCUUCAAUAUGUAUCGCCGUUGCAUUUGAUCUAUCGGGGA